rnacentral:rRNA from 1 species
AUUGAACGCUGGCGGCAGGCCUAACACAUGCAAGUCGAACGGUAACAGGAAGAAGCUUGCUUCUUUGCUGACGAGUGGCGGACGGGUGAGUAAUGUCUGGGAAACUGCCUGAUGGAGGGGGAUAACUACUGGAAACGGUAGCUAAUACCGCAUAACGUCGCAAGACCAAAGAGGGGGACCUUCGGGCCUCUUGCCAUCGGAUGUGCCCAGAUGGGAUUAGCUAGUAGGUGGGGUAACGGCUCACCUAGGCGACGAUCCCUAGCUGGUCUGAGAGGAGGACCAGCCACACUGGAACUGAGACACGGUCCAGUCUCCUACGGGAGGCAGCAGUGGGGAAUAUUGCACAAUGGGCGCAAGCCUGAUGCAGCCAUGCCGCGUGUAUGAAGAAGGCCUUCGGGUUGUAAAGUACUUUCAGCGGGGAGGAAGGGAGUAAAGUUAAUACCUUGGCUCAUUGACGUUACCCGCAGAAGAAGCACCGGCUAACUCCGUG